GGGAUAGAAUUGGAUCCAUGAUAACGAAGAGAUAGUAAUAUGGUACAAGUAAUAUUUUGGACAGAGAGUAUUUGAUCUUGCUGUUAAUCUUUGCUUUAAUUUUAUGGUUUUAGGCGUGUUCUAGUUCAGAUAAACAUGCUUUAGUAACUCCUUGGCUCAAAGGCGAUAUCCUUGGUGAGAAAUUGGUCAACUUGGCAGAUUGUCUUUGUAAUGAGGACUUGGAAUCCAGGGUAUCUUCAGAAUCUCACUUCUCAGAAAGAUGGACUCUUCUAAGCUUGGUAUUAUCCCAACAUGUUAAAAAUGAUUACUUGAUUGGAGACAUAUAUGUUGAAAGAAUCAUUGUUAAACUUCAUGAAACUUUAUUCAAAACAAAGAAAUUAUCAGAAGCUGAAAGUAGUGACUCAUCAGUGUCUUUUAUCUGUGAUGUGGCCUAUAACUAUUUCAGCUCAGCGAAAGGAUGCUUGCUAAUGCCAUCAUCUGAAGAUUUAUUAUUAACUCUCUUUCAGUUAUGUGCUCAGAGCAAAGAAAAAACACAUUUGCCAGGUAAUAGCCUACUGCUCAAAUGUUUUGUUGGGAAUCUCCGGCUCUGACCUUCAUAGUGAGUAUUUUCUUAUCUGUAAACUGAAAAAUACUUGGCUCUCUGGUGUAAAUUUAUUGGUUCAUCAAACUGACAGUUCAUAUAAAGAGAGUACCU
rnacentral:sRNA from 1 species